AGAGUUUGAUCCUGGCUCAGGACGAACGCUGGCGGCGUGCUUAACACAUGCAAGUCGAACGGAAAGGCCCUUCGGGGUACUCGAGUGGCGAACGGGUGAGUAACACGUGGGUGAUCUGCCCUGCACUCUGGGAUAAGCCUGGGAAACUGGGUCUAAAACCGGAUAGGACCGCAUGCUUCAUGGUGUGUGGUGCAAAGCUUUUGCGGUGUGGGAUGAGCCCGCGGCCUAUCAGCUUGUUGGUGGGGUAAUGGCCUACCAAGGCGACGACGGGUAGCCGGCCUGAGAGGGUGACCGGCCACACUGGGACUGAGAUACGGCCCAGACUCCUACGGGAGGCAGCAGUGGGGAAUAUUGCACAAUGGGCGCAAGCCUGAUGCAGCGACGCCGCGUGAGGGAUGACGGCCUUCGGGUUGUAAACCUCUUUCAGUAGGGACGAAGCGAAAGUGACGGUACCUACAGAAGAAGGACCGGCCAACUACGUGCCAGCAGCCGCGGUAAUACGUAGGGUCCGAGCGUUGUCCGGAAUUACUGGGCGUAAAGAGCUCGUAGGUGGUUUGUCGCGUUGUUCGUGAAAACUCACAGCUUAACUGUGGGCGUGCGGGCGAUACGGGCAGACUAGAGUACUGCAGGGGAGACUGGAAUUCCUGGUGUAGCGGUGGAAUGCGCAGAUAUCAGGAGGAACACCGGUGGCGAAGGCGGGUCUCUGGGCAGUAACUGACGCUGAGGAGCGAAAGCGUGGGUAGCGAACAGGAUUAGAUACCCCGGUAGUCCAA
rnacentral:rRNA from 1 species